rnacentral:rRNA from 1 species
UACGAAGGGUGCAAGCGUUACUCGGAAUUACUGGGCGUAAAGCGUGCGUAGGUGGUGAGUUAAGUCUGAUGUGAAAUCCCCGGGCUCAACCUGGGAAUGGCAUUGGAUACUGGCUCGCUAGAGUGCGGUAGAGGGUGGUGGAAUUCCCGGUGUAGCAGUGAAAUGCGUAGAGAUCGGGAGGAACACCUGCGGCGAAAGCGGCUCACUGGACCAUAACUGACGCUGAUGCACGAAAGCUAGGGGAGCAAACAGG